rnacentral:rRNA from 1 species
GAUGAACGCUGGCGGCGUGCCUAAUACAUGCAAGUCGAGCGAACAGACGAGGAGCUUGCUCCUCUGACGUUAGCGGCGGACGGGUGAGUAACACGUGGAUAACCUACCUAUAAGACUGGGAUAACUUCGGGAAACCGGAGCUAAUACCGGAUAAUAUAUUGAACCGCAUGGUUCAAUAGUGAAAGACGGUUUUGCUGUCACUUAUAGAUGGAUCCGCGCCGCAUUAGCUAGUUGGUAAGGUAACGGCUUACCAAGGCAACGAUGCGUAGCCGACCUGGGAGGGGAAUGGGCCACAGUGAAAGUGAAACAGGGUCCAAACUCCUACGGGGGGACGGAGUGGGGAAUUUCCCGAAAGGGGAGAAAGGUAGCGGGAGAAACGGCGGGUGGGUGGAGGAGGUUUUGGGAUGGUAAAACGCUUUUAUUGGGGAAGAAAAAAUGGUUAAGUAACGAUGGGAGUUUUACGGGAACCAAAUAAAAAAGCCCCGGCAAACAACGG